UACAGAGGUCUCAAGCGUUGUUCGGAUUCAUUGGGCGUAAAGGGUGCGUAGGCGGCGCGGUAAGUCGGGUGUGAAUACUCGGAGCUUAACUCCGAAACUGCAUUCGAUACUGCCGUGCUUGAGGACUGGAGAGGAGACUGGAAUUUACGGUGUAGCGGUGAAAUGCGUAGAUAUCGUAAGGAAGACCAGUGGCGAAGGCGGGUCUCUGGACAGUUCCUGACGCUGAGGCACGAAGGUCAGGGGAGCAAACGGG
rnacentral:rRNA from 1 species